rnacentral:rRNA from 1 species
CCUUAAAUUUAAUUAAAGGUGAUACCUGCCCAGUGAUAAUAACAAAAAAUUUUAACAUAAUUUAAUAUUUAUUAAAUGGAUGCGGUAACUCUGACCGUAAUAAAGUAGCAUAAUUAAUUACCACUUAAUUGGUGGAGAGUAUGAAUGGUGGCACGAACUUCUCAUUGUCUUGAUUAAAAUUUUUUAAAAUUGAAUUAAUAGUGAAGAUGCUGUUUAAAAUCGUAAGACGAAAAGACCCUAUAGAGCUUUACUAUAAAUUUUAAUAUAUAAUAAAAAUAAAUUUAUUUUUAUAAUUUAGAAUUUGGUAGUUUAGUUGGGGCGACUAUCUUUUAAAAAUAACAAAGAUAAGUAAAAUUAAUAAUAUAAUUUAUUGUAUAAUUUAUUUAUUUAACAAUUAUUAAAGUAGGCUAUAAUGACCCGUUAGUUUAUAUAAAAAUAAUUAACGAUUAAUUAAUAAAAGCUACCUUAGGGAUAACAGGAUAAUUUUGUUUUAGAGUUCUUAUCAAUUACAAAGUUUGUCACCUCUAUGUUGAAUUAAGAUAUCCUAAUAAUGCAGAAGUUAUUAAAGGUAGGUCUGUUCGACCUUUAAAAU